rnacentral:rRNA from 1 species
UACGGGGGGGGCAAGCGUUGUUCGGAAUUACUGGGCGUAAAGAGCUCGUAGGCGGUUUGUCGCGUCUGCCGUGAAAGUCCGGGGCUCAACUCCGGAUCUGCGGUGGGUACGGGCAGGCUAGAGUGAUGUAGGGGAGACUGGAAUUCCUGGUGUAGCGGUGAAAUGCGCAGAUAUCAGGAGGAACACCGAUGGCGAAGGCAGGUCUCUGGGCAUUAACUGACGCUGAGGAGCGAAAGCAUGGGGAGCGAACAGG